UUUUGUUACUACAUUUCUCUUUUGAAUUCUAUCUGACAGGAUGAGAAAAAUCAGGUGCUGACGACCAAUGUCUGGUUGGACCAGCAAUGGAAGGAUCAAAAGUUACACUGGAACCCUGAAGACUUUAAUGGACUCAAAGUUCUAAGAAUUCCUUGUCGACAUUUGUGGAAACCGGAUAUAGUUUUAUACAACAGUGUUGAAGAUUAUACGGAUGGUUAUAUGCAGGCACUGGCCAUGGUCCACUCUAAUGGUGAAGUCUUCUGGCCACCCAUUGUGAAGUUUCAAAGCACUUGUCAGGUGGACAUUACAUUUUUUCCCUUUGAUGACCAAAUCUGUAGCAUGAAGCUGGGCUCGUGGGCUUA
rnacentral:sRNA from 1 species